rnacentral:rRNA from 1 species
UGAUGACGAGACGCCAAGGCGUUGAAGUAGUGUAUGUCAGGCUUCCAAGAAAAGCUCGCAAUGUUGUAAGUAAAAAAUGCCUGUACCAUAACCGACACAGGUGGGUAGGUAGAGUAUACUAAGGGGCGCGAGAUAACUCUCUCUAAGGAACUCGGCAAAAUGACUCCGUAACUUCGGGAGAAGGAGUGCCUUAUUCUAUAAGGUUGCAAUAACAAGAUCCAAGCAACUGUUUAUCAAAAACACAGGUCUCCGCUAAGUCGUAAGACGAAGUAUGGGGGCUGACGCCUGCCCAGUGCCAGAAGGUUAAAGAAGUUGGUUAGUGUAAACGAAGCUGAUAACUGAAGCCCUGGUGAACGGCGGCCGUAACUAUAACGGUCCUAAGGUAGCGAAAUUCCUUGUCGGGUAAGUUCCGACCCGCACGAAAGGCGUAAUGAUUUGGAUACUGUCUCGGAGAGAGGCUCGGUGAAAUAGACUUGUCUGUGAAGAUGCGGACUACCUGCACCAGGACAGAAAGACCCUAUGAAGCUUUACUGUAACUUGAAAUUGGAAUUGGACUUUAUUCGCGCAGCAUAGGUGGGAGACAUUGAAGAUAUUCUUGCGGGAGUAUCGGAGUCAUUAGUGAGAUACCACUCUUGUAAUGUUAGAUUUCUAACUUUGAACCAUUAUCUGGUCAAAGAACAGUUUCAGGCGGGCAGUUUGACUGGGGCGGUCGCCUCCCAAAUGGUAACGGAGGCGUACAAAGGUUUCCUCUGAACGGGUAGAAAUCGUAUCUAGAGUGUAAAGGCAUAAGGAAGCUUGACUGUGAGACCUACAAGUCGAGCAGGGACGAAAGUCGGUCUUAGUGAUCUGAUGGUACUGAGUGGAAAGGCCGUCACUCAACGGAUAAAAGUUACUCUAGGAUAACAGGCUGAUCUCCCCCAAGAGUUCACAUCGACGGGGAGGUUUGGCACCUCGAUGUCGGCUCAUCGCAUCCUGGGGCGGUAGUACGUCCCAAGGGUUGGGCUGUUCGCCCAUGAAAGCGGUACGCGAGCUGGGUUCAGAACGUCGUGAGACAGUUCGGUCCAUAUCCGGUGUAGGCGUUAGAAUAUUGAGAGGAGCCUUCUUUAGUACGAGAGGACCGAGAAGGACAUACCGCUGGUGUACCAGUUAUCGUGCCAACGGUAAACGCUGGGUAGCUAUGUAUGGAGUGGAUAACCGCUGAAAGCAUCUAAGUGGGAAGCCCACCUCAAGAUGAGUAUUCUCA